UACGGAGGGAGCUAGCGUUGUUCGGAAUUACUGGGCGUAAAGCGCACGUAGGCGGCUUUGUAAGUUAGAGGUGAAAGCCCGGGGCUCAACUCCGGAACUGCCUUUAAGACUGCAUCGCUUGAAUCCAGGAGAGGUGAGUGGAAUUCCGAGUGUAGAGGUGAAAUUCGUAGAUAUUCGGAAGAACACCCGUGGCGAAGGCGGCUCUCUGGUACGUGACUGACGCUGAGACGCGAAAGCGUGGGGAGCAAACAGG
rnacentral:rRNA from 1 species